AACGUAGGAUCCGAGCGUUAUCCGAAUUCACUGGGCGUAAAGCGCGUGCAGGCGGCUCGAUAAGUUGGAUGUAAAAUCUCCCGGCUCAACUGGGAGGGGACGUUCAAUACUGUUGGGCUUGAGGACGGUAGAGGGAGGUGGAAUUCCCGGUGUAGUGGUGAAAUGCGUAGAUAUCGGGAGGAACACCAGUGGCGAAGGCGGCCUCCUGGACCGUACCUGACGCUCAGACGCGAAAGCUAGGGGAGCGAACGGG
rnacentral:rRNA from 1 species